rnacentral:rRNA from 1 species
AGCGAACGCUGGCGGUAGGCCUAACACAUGCAAGUCGAACGGCAGCACAGUAGGAGCUUGCUCUUACGGGUGGCGAGUGGCGGACGGGUGAGGAAUACAGCGGAAUCUACUUUUUCGUGGGGGAUAACGUAGGGAAACUUACGCUAAUACCGCAUACUACCUACGGGUGAAAGCAUGGGAUCUUCGGGCCUUUCGCGAUUGAAUGAGCCGAUGUCGGAUUAGCUAGUUGGCGGGGUAAAGGCCCACCAAGGCGACGAUCCGUAGCUGGUCUGAGAUGAUGAUCAGCCACACUGGAACUGAGACACGGUCCAGACUCCUACGGGAGGCAGCAGUGGGGAAUAUUGGACAAUGCGCGCAAGCCUGAUCCAGCCAUACCGCGUGGGUGAAGAAGGCCUUCGGGUUGUAAAGCCCUUUUGUUGGGAAAGAAAAGCAGCAGGUUAAUACCCCGCUGUUCUGACGGUACCCAAAGAAUAAGCACCGGCUAGCUUCGUG